rnacentral:lncRNA from 1 species
GACGCCUUUGCUCAUUUCUCUCCACAGUGUCUUAUCUGCACCAAGACUCCUCUUCUCGCAGCACAAGGCACUGUCUUCCAGAGAGCUGCUAUUUGCCCUGGCAUCCCUACUACUAUGUCUAGUAAUGUGGGUAGCACAUGUGUUUUUAGGUAGCCAACAUAGAUUAAUUCCUUUUUCCUCAGAGAAAACAUUGUCCUUACCCACUGGAUCUUCUAAAAUAAAAAUAUACCCAAAAGAUGCCCCAACAUAUAACAAGAACACAUGCUCCACUAUGUUCAUAUCAGCCAUAUUUAUAAUAGCCAGAAGCUGGAAAGAACCCAGAUGUCCUUCAGCAGAGGAAUGGAUACAGAAAAUGUGGUACAUUUACACAAUUGAGUACUAUUGAGCUAUUAAAACCAAAGACUUCAUGACAUUCAUAGGCAAAUGGAUGGAACUAAAAAAUAUCAUCCUGAGUGAGGUAACCCAGGCACAAAAG